AUACCAUGAUAAGGACACUUUUGAAGCAUGUUCUUGAAUUUGUUCCAAGCUUCAUCAAAGGAUUCGAUAUUUUCUUGCCGAAAUAUGGAUAUAUCAUGCUUUAAUUU
rnacentral:snoRNA from 1 species